rnacentral:lncRNA from 1 species
CGUCACAAAGCUGCUCAGCGCCUAGACGUCCUCUGCUCCGAUCUGGGCUGAACCCAGAAGACAUCCAGGACUUUGAGUCCUCUGCCGUAGAAGGUACAGUGAAACAAUCGUGUUUUGUACCUGUUGUUGGGGAAAGGCCCGCUUUCUUUCUUUUUUUUUUUUAACAUGUAUUUAUUCUUGAGAGACAGAGCACGGGCGGGGGACGGGCAGAGAAAGAGGAGACACAGAAUCUGACACAGAGCCCGACGUGGGGCUCGAACUCACAAACUGUGAGAUCAGGACCUGAGCCGAGUCGGACGCUCAACCCACUGGGCCACCCAAGCGCCACCCCCCCCCCCCCCCCCAAAAAGGCCCACUUUCUGAAGAAAAAGCGAUUGGGGCUGACUCCGCAGCAUUCUGACAGGGUCAACGCAGCCACACUCGUGAGGGCGCUCAGCAGAUACCAGGCCACAAAAGCAAGGGCCCCUUGGGUCUUAGCUCAGGAGGCAAAAGGAUCCAGUUUCAAAUUUCAACUCCAGCGCUUAGGGCCUCCAUCAUUUUCCUCUCCAUUUCUUAGCCUCUUGAGCCUCGAUCUCCCCAUCUGUAAAAUGGGGUCAUAGUGCGUGCCGGGGAGGAAUAAACACAAUCAUAACUCGGCUCCAGUGCUCAGUCAGCAGCCCCAGCUUUGAUCACGGGUCGCUAGCAACACGUGGAAAGCACCGUAAUUCCACCCGACCACAAGCAUUUAAGUCAGCUCGCUGCAAUCUGCCUUUCACCCACACUUCUUGGUGCCCUUACGCUCUGGAACCUAGCCUGCACCCCAGGCCCAGGCAAGAGUGGAGUCCAGGAAGUGUCUGUGGACCAUCCCGGGCGUGUGGUCUCCCCUUCCAGAGCUCUGCGAGGCUGGGUGAGGGGCCAGACGGAGCUGUGUGGACCACUGGGUCCGCUGCUCCCAUGGCCCAUCUCACCAGGCUAUGAGCCCCCCGACAGGGUAAGGCCUGGACCCAUGACAGCCAGUGCGGAAAACCACCUUGAGCAGGGAGUGAGUACUCCCUAAUUGUCGGCUGCAUGACUGCAUUCUCGUUGGUUAGUUUUCGUGGUAAAUUUUAAACCUACGUAUGUUAGAUGCAUAUAAACUUACAUACGUUAUACAAAAUAAUUAUUUCCCGUGAAAUGUCUGAAUUAAGGUGAAAACAGACAAACUGUGAAUAUCGUUCUUCAAGAUCACGGUCAUGAGAUGAAUCACUGCUGUGACUUUGCAGAAGGAGGUUGAAACUUGUACACAGGGUGGAAACAGGUAUGAGCCUAGGGGUUUUUCUUAAAAGAUGAGCGAGGCUUGAUUUUAUCGUCCCUGUUGCUAUAGAAGCUAAUGUUUAGGAGCCAGAUAACAUCAGAAAGGCCACAGAUGCGGGGCGCCUGGGUGGCUCAGUCGGGUUAAGCCUCCAACUUCGGCUCAGGUCAUGACCUCGAAGUGUGUGAGUUCGAGCCCCGCGUUGGGCUGUGUGCUGACAACUCAGAGCCUGGAGCCUGCUUCCGAUUCUGCGUCCCCCUCUGUCUAUCCCUCCCCCACUUGUGCUGCCUCUCUCUCUCAAAAAUAAACAGACAUUAAACUUUUAAAAAAGAAAGGGCACAGAUGCCAUUUUUAAGUCCUGACACCCGAAAAAUUCUUGAAAACCUAUUUAGGGAUCAGUGCUCUCCAGAUGAGUAAAAAUACUAGAAACCGAAAGAAGACAAAACCUCAGCCCUUAUUUUGAGGGGCCAGCCUUCAUCCAACGGUACCAGGUGAGACUUGGUACCUGGGCAGUGUUGUUCAUUUGAUCUUUUCCAGGAAAGUCACCACAAACCGCCCCCUUCUGUACCCUCCUGAGCCCCUGCACCCUCCUGCACCCCUGCACCCUCCUGCACUUCUGCACCAUCCUGCACCCUCCAGCACCCCUGCACCCUCCUGCACCCCUGCAUCCUCCCGCACCCUCCUGAGCCCUUGCUCCUGCACCCUCCAGCACUCUCCUGAGCCCUUGCACGCUCCUGCACCCCUGCACCCUCCUGUACUCCUGCACCCUCCAGUACCCUCCUUGCACCCUCCAGCACCCCGGCACCCUCCUGAGCCCCUGCACGCUCCUGCACCCCUGCACCUUCCAGCACCCCUGCACCCUCCAGCACCCCUGCACCCUCCUGAGCCCCUGCACCCUCAAGUACCCUCCUUGCACCCUCCAGCAUUCCGGCACCCUCCAGCACCCCUGCACCGAGUACCCUCCCUGCACCCUUCUUCACCCCUGCACCCUCCUGAGCCCCUGCACGCUCCUGCACCUCUGCACCCUCCUGUACUCCUGCACCCUCCAGUACCCUCCUUGCACCCUCCAGCACCCCUGCACCCUCCUGCCAGGGGAGAUCCUAUCUGCACUGUGUCCAGAACUCACGCCCGCCACCAUCGACACGCCAGAACAGAAGCCCAGAGCCUCGCCUUCCCUCCUUAGCAGGAUCCAAGGUCCAGGAAAAUCCAAACCCUCUGGUACCACGUUCCAUUCCUGAAGAGUUUUCUUUCCGGUAUUUCCUUCAGGAGACUGUUUGUGUCCGGGGCAAUGCCUCCCCACUCCACACAGCGGCAUUGACACCCCCGGAAGGGUGGACGUGGGGUACCAGUGCUCCUGCUUUGGGGUGCAAUCUUGACAGCCAGCUCUCUACCGGGGUCCCUCAGCAACGGUAAGAGGCUGAAGACCCCAGCCCCACCCAUGCCUCGCGGUGUUUACAGAGAUAAAGUGACGAAAGAGAGGAGAGCACAGGGCACAGGGCAGGUCCAGAAGCCUGCAAGUCAGCACAGCACGCCUGGACUGUGGCCCCUUCUCUGCUGGGCCGGCUCUGGGUUGCAGGGACAUCCUGUUCCCCUUGCUGUUAGGGACGAGUUCAACCCCCCGCCCCCCACCCCGCGUCCCCUCUGUGUCUUCACUGAUGAGAACAUCCAAAGCCGACUUCCAGGAGGAAAGCGUCUCUCCUCGCGAGAUUCUGGGAUGUAGAGCCUUUAGUGAAAGAGUCCAUUAAGUAACUCUUGGGGAAAAUGAGCCUCCGUACCUCUGUCACUGUCAGGCUUCUGCUUCUAAUGGCCACGCACGACUGUUCCCUCCUUAAACACUAACUCCCCGUGCAAUUAAUUUCAGCUGCCCGUGUCUCACGAAAGCUAAAACGAUUUCAAUGCAUUAUUUAAAAGUCAUCAUGGUAAGUAAUGACAACCGCACCGGCUCCUUUCGUAAAUAUACUUCGGAGGCCGCUAUUCUGCAGAUGAGCUUUCGCAUUGCUGUGUCAUUUGCAGUGCGCUCGGAUGCCGCGUCCAUCACGUAAAAAAAAAAAUGCCGUUAAAAGUAAUAUCUGCAGGGGCGCCUGGGUGGCUCAGUCGGUUAAGCGUCCGACCUGAGUUCAGGUCACGAUGGUGAGUUCGAGCCCCGUGUGAGGCUGUCUGCUGUCAGCACAGGGCCUGCUUCGGAUCCUCUGUCCCCGCCCCCAUCUCUCGCCGCCCCUCCCCCGCUCAAAGAUAAAUAAACAGCAAAAAAAAUAAUAAUAAUAAUGUCUGCAAAUAAUCGUGACACCUGUUAUGCUGGGGACGCUCCCCCAGGUGGGUGUGCCGGGAAGACUUGGAACGUGAUUCUUGUCCUCAGAUGGCUGACAUUCUAGGGGGUGAAGCAAGGGGAAGGUAUCACGUUGACGCUGAACUCCGGUGUGAAACGUCCCUCAGUUUGACCAAACGGAAAGUCAUGAAUUUAAGUUCACGUUUUCCAUGCCACUCCAGCCUGGGAGUAAAAGCAUGGCACUCUGUCUCAGUGCGUGUCAUCAGAAGACGCCCAGUCCCCCCCCCUCGAUCUCCCUCUCUUGCCCUUUCUGAGAUUUCCUUGGGAGGCGAGCUGAUACGACUGUGCUAACUGCUCUGUUUUCUCCUUCACUUCCACCCCGUCCCCCCCCCCCCCCCCCCCCCCCCCCCCCCCUCCGNNNNNNNNNNNNNGGGCUCAGCAUGGCGGCCGCAGCGGCUGGCCCCCGUCCUGCUGACCCCCGUUGUGGCGCCCCAUUCUCAAUGGCCAUCAGAUACUUGGUGACAUGGCUCCCCAGUGUCUACUCCCACUCAGACACCCGGGGGGGGGGGCUGAUCUGAGGGGCUGAUCCUGAGGGGCCUCAGAAUCCCCUUCUCACCUCACGCUGGUUCUCUCUCCCGGUGUGGACCCCCCCACCCCCGAACCUCAAAGUGCUGGGAAAUCUGCCUUGGAAUCCGUUUGCUACCACAGAGUGAGGGGUUUCUUGCAGAAGUUUUGAAUAAUGGCCACCUCCCCCGGAAAUUCACUCCGGGCCUCAAUUCUGCUCCGCUUGCUUCCGUCUGAGCAAGUCACUGGGAUGACGGAAUGAGGGGCUGGAGAGUCGGAAUGAGGCGAAGUCCUCUGAGGCAGACACCGUGGGUUACUCACACACGAAUCCGUGCCUCUGUCCACCUUUCUUGCAGGCAGAACCCCACUUUUACUUGGGGGUGCCCUCUGCCUGGCGACUAUGUGCUCAGGGAAAGUGACUCUACACUCAGCUUAAGGGAAGAUUGGUCUGAGCCACAAAAUUAAUCAAUUCUCCUGGCCCGGGAUUUGUUUAGGGAAGGGUCCUGAGACCCAAGGGAAGGGUUUCCCGGAGAGGAAUAAAUGGAUGGGCUUUGGAAGAUCUUCCUUAUGUUUUAACGUUGGAUCAUACAGCUCUCCUUUGCUGCUUCUGAAUUUCAGUGAAUGAAGAUGUGAUGGCUGGAGUGGCUGCAGCCACCUUGACACCAUGUUGAGAGCCCACUCACCCACUGAGGACAGCAGGAGGGAAGUAUGAAGGGUCUCAGAUGACACUGUGGCGCUGCUGACAUACCCAACCCGGGCACCACCUGACCUCAGGACUUGCAGCAAAUGACAUGCCCUUUACUUGGGGUUUCGGCUACUUGUGGCUAAAACCUCUCAGCUGAUAAGGUGCCUCAGACACCACCCCACCCCUUCAUUGUACGAAACACGUAGGGCUCCCCACCAGAGCUGCCGUGUGAGGGAAACCAUCAACCACCCCGUGCCAACAGAUCACAGGCAGAUCGAGACCCACCUCGGUUGGCCCCGGCUGGGGGGACAGAAGGACUAACGUCUCGGCUCCUGGUUUAACAAUUACCACCGGGGAGGUCAGGACAUUCUGGCCAGGAGGGUGAGGCACACCUCGAGGGUAAUUCCAAGUAAGCAGCUGAGAACGCCAUUAACGGUGAAGCCCUUUACCAGCGCUCAUUUUCUGAAAAGAAAUGAUUAAGAUAGUAUUACUUGGGACCAUUCACGGAGCGUUUGUUUUAUGCUGAGCUAUGAAUUACGCACUUGACAGACUCACGUCAUGUAAUCCUCUCUGAAAGGCCAUGAGGUAGAUGGGUUCAUCCUGCCGGUGCUGAUGUGGACCUUCACGACACAGGCAGACAAACAGAUGAGUAGACAGACAGACAGUCACAAGAACAAUCACGGAGCACUUACGGGGCGCCGAGCGCUGGGCUGAAUGCACGGGGUAGACAUCCGGUCUGUGCCUCAUAAUAAACGUCGAGGGAUAGGGACUAUGUUUGUCACAGGCUUGGAAACCUUCGGGCAGUCUGACUUCAGAACCAGCCCCCCUACCGUGGGGCAGCCCUUCACAGCCUGGAACCGGGACCUGGCACAGGGAGAGUGUUCCAGAAUAGCUGUGAAGUCAAUGAGCUUGAAAUGAAGGCAGGGUCCGCACCGUCGCAGCUCAGAGACAUGGCAUGAGAGCACCCCAAACCAGUGCCUCCCCCACCCCACCCCCACCCAUCUGGGGUCCGCUUUUCUAGUAAGUUCCCCAUGAUGCCAUUGCUGCUGUUCCCUGAAUGUCGAAGCGUCAAAGCCACGCACUCCAAAGUAACUGCCCAACCUUGGCCUGUUGUCACGCCCGCGCCCCAGCAGGCUCGUGCCUGAGCUACGCUACUGACCUACCUCUGGAGCCGUGGCUCUCCACGGCUUCCAGAAAACAAUGGUAGUGUCCUGAGACACCUUUGCUUGUCACAACUAAGAAGGUGGGGCACAGCCCACAACAGAGGACAGUCUGGCCCAGAACACCCGUAGUGCCUAAGCAGAGGACCCCUCCUCUAUGGCCUUCAUACUGGCGGCUCCCUUUCCCUAGAACACCUUCCCCCGGGGCAGCUUCCUGGCCGUAUCUCUCCCCAACUUCCCGUCUUUCCGCCCACACCUUCCCGUUUUCAUUAAAACCCCCUUCCGGGGCGCCUGGGUGGCGCAGUCGGUUAAGCGUCCGACUUCAGCCAGGUCACGAUCUCGCGGUCCGUGAGUUCGAGCCCCGCGUCGGGCUCUGGGCUGACGGCUCGGAGCCUGGAGCCUGUUUCCGAUUCUGUGUCUCCCUCUCUCUCUGCCCCUCCCCCAUUCAUGCUCUGUCUCUCUCUGUCCCAAAAAUAAAUAAAAAAUGUUGAAAAAAAAAUUUAACAAAAAUAGCAAAAGGUUGUAGGACAUCAAGUUCAUUACCCUUUGUUGGUAACAAAAAAUUUUGCAUGCAGGACGAUAGUUUUAAAUAGUAGCCGGUUGGGGCGCCUGAGUGGCUCAGUCGGUUAAGCGUCUGACUGCAGCUCAGGUCACGAUCUCGCGGUCCGUGAGUUCGAGCCCCACAUCGGGCUCUGUGCUGACUGCUCAGAGCCUGGAGCCUGUUUCAGAUUCUGUGUCUCCCUCUCUCUCUGCCCCUCCCCCGUUCAUGCUCUGUCUCUCUCUGUCUCAAAAAUAAAAUAAACCUUAAGAAAGGUUUUAGGGGCGCCUGGGUGGCGCAGUCGGUUAAGCGUCCGACUUCAGCCAGGUCACGAUCUCGCGGUCUGGGAGUUCGAGCCCCGCGUCAGGCUCUGGGCUGAUGGCUCAGAGCCUGGAGCCUGUUUCCGAUUCUGUGUCUCCCUCUCUCUCUGCCCCUCCCCCGUUCAUGCUCUGUCUCUCUCUGUCCCAAAAAAAAAAAAAAAAAAAAAAAAAAAAAACGUUGAAGAAAACCCCCUUCCUACUCUCUCUGCCCUUCCCUGCGUCACUCUUACCCGUGACAUACUUUGUAUUUUAUUCCCACGGACGUAAAAUGAACUUAUGCUCAAUUAUGUAUUGAUUGUCUGUCUCCCCCCUGUGUAUGAGUUUCCUGUUGCCACUAUAACAAGUUACCCCAGACUCAGUGGCUUAAAACAACGCAAAUGUAUUAUCUUACAGUUCUCAAAUCACAAGUCCUAAAAUCAAGGUGUCGGGAAAGGCUGCGUUCUUUCUGGAGGGUCUAGGGGAGAAUCCGUCCCUAGACCCUCGUCCAGCUUCUGGUGCCUACCCAUAUGCCUUCACUCGGGGCCACUUUCAUUGCCAAAGUCGGCAGCACAGCGUCUUCAAAAUUGUUUUAAAUGCUUAUUUAUUUUUGCCAGAGAGAGACCGAAAGAGAGAGAGAGAGAGAGCACACAGGGGAGCAGCAGAGAGAGAGCGAUAGAGAAUCUCAGGCAGUCUCCUGUGCUGUCAGUGCAGAAGUAGACUCGGGGCUCGAUCUCACGAACCGCGAGAUCACGACUGGAGCCGAAAUCACGUUGGAAGCCCCACCGACUGAGUCACCCAGGUGCCCCAGUGUCUUAAAAAAAAUUUUGUAAUUUUUUAAAUGUUUAUAUUUGAGAGAGAGAGACAGAGUGCGAGCAGGGGAGGGGCAGAGAAUAUUUAUAUUUGAGAGAGAGAGAGAUGUGAGCAGGGGAGGGGCAGCAAGAGAGUGGGACACAAAUCGGAAGCAGGCUCCAGGCUCCGAGCUGUCAGCACAGAGCCCAGCGCGGGGCUCGAACUCACGAACCGGGAGAUCAUGACCUGAGCCGAAGUCGGACGCUCAACCGACUGAGCCACCCAGGCGCCCAUUAAAAAUUUUUAAUGGGAAAAAAAAAAAACCUGUAAAGCUCAUUAUCGAACAAGUAAUUGGUAUCAUCCUCAAGGAUCCUUAUUAACACAGUUCCAUGCAGUUUGAUGAAAUGAUAGAUUAUAUCAGUUUAUAGAAAAGUGCUAUUCUUUGACCGCUGCAUUUGAACAGUCACGGAAAAUGAUGUCCCGAGUAUAUUUCAUUAAGUUGUUAAUGAGCUUCUGUUAUCCGCCUUAAUUGCCACAGCUCGGCUCACAAGUGCUAAAACCCCAUUUGAGGUGUCCUUUGGUAAAACGCGAGGGUAGAGCAGGUCUGGGAGAGAAGAACCAGCCCGAUCGGUUGACCAAGAAUUUCUAACAUUUCUUCCUUCAUUUCUCAGGCCUCAGGUUUUCACACCAUCAGGAACAGGACGGAUGCCAUGGUGCUGUUCUUUACUGCAACCGAUUAGUGUCACAGUAAACUCAGGGCUCUUGUCCUAACUUCAGGCUAUUGGCCGAAUGAAAGUGUUUGAGGGGCGCCUGGGUGGCUCAGGCGGUCGAGCGGCGGGCUCCAGGUUUCGGCUCAGCUCAUGAGCUCACAGUUCGUGAGCUCUGAGCCCCGAGCCUGGCGUGGAGCCUGCUUGGGAUUCCACCUCUCUGUCCCUCCCCCUGUUUGCUCUUGCUCUGUCUCUC